ensembl:snRNA U5 U5 spliceosomal RNA
UAUUCUGGUUUCUCUUCAUAUCACAAAGCUCUUUUGCCUUUUACUAAAGAUUUCUGUGGGGAGGAACAGUUAAAAAAAAUUUUGGGGGGG